rnacentral:tmRNA from 2 species
GGGGACGAUUAGGAUUCGACGACGGUUACGAAACCCGAGGUGCAUGUCGAGAGCGUAGAGGCUUUCGUAAAACAAAUCUCUGCAAAACGUUUUAGUUGCUAACGAUAAUAGCUACCACGGAGCAAUGGCUGCCUAAACACAGUCUUCUCCCGAUCACUCUGUCUUGUCUAUUGGGUGGAAUUGAUCGCAAUCGAAAAUAGAAUCGUCACUCCAGUAUGUCUAUGGCUGUAGGAUUAAAAUUUAUAGAAUCCCGUAGUGCAUCCUGCCCGUUGGAUCGUGCUGCGUUAAGUUAAAAACGGAAUCUAAACAUGUAGAGCCAACGGCAGAGGACUGGCGGACGCGGGUUCAAAUCCCGCCGUCUCCACCA